UUAGAACGCAGAGCCCAGGCAUGACAAUGGACUGUGCAGUUGAUUGGGUACUGAGGUCUAAGACCCACAAAACUCUGCUAUUCCAUUAAAACAAAGAAUUAGAAAAAUUAUGAAAAACAGCCUGAAGCUGCUUUCUUUGUUCUUAACCGACUGUGCUUCUGUUGAGAAUUUCAAAUGGAAUUUAUUCCUAUGUCAGGGUUUUCACAGCUUGCCUUCCAUGACUUGUUUAUGCCUUCAAAAUCAGUUACAGCUGGGGAUACCCAUAUACCACCAACUCAGCGGCCAGCAGGGCUCGAAGUCUUGGCUCCCUCUAAACUACAGCUUCUGGAUGCUGACCCUGGGAAAGUAGUCCCGGAAGAUUUCACAUCUGUGAUGCCAUUCUCUUCUCACCUAGUCCUGAUUCUUCACCCCAAGAUGACCAGCAUAAUUUGUUUCUUUUGUAGCUUGUUUAUCUAUCUAUCUAUCUAUCUAUCUAUCUAUCUAUCUAUCUAUCUAUCUAUCUAUCAUCUACUAUCUAUCACUGAUUAUUGGUAUGUUUGAUUUUUUUUUUCAAGACAAGUUUUCUCUGUGUAACCUUGGCUCUUCUGGAACUCAUUCUGUAGGCCAGGCUGGCCUCUAGCACAGAGAUAUACCUGCUUCCUUCUCCCAAGUGCUGGGAUUAAAGGUAUCUACCACCAUCCCAGAGUGAGCUUUAUUAUGUAAAUAAAAACAAAAGGUUAUUUUAGAUUAACCCAAAUGAGAAAAUUUAAGAAAACCAAGGAAAACAGAAGAAUUAAAGAGAUUAAAGGAAACAAAAAUUCUUCUAUAAAUGAAGUUCAGAAAUGAAAAAAAAUGAUGUCUAGAGUUGGCUUUAGAAAUAGUACACACAUUCAAAAUCUGUUUAUUUUGUCAAAACAGAUAACACAAUGAAAGUUAGGGAAGUCUAAACGCAAACCUGCAGGGUAGAAAGAAACUAACCCCAAAAUAGCAUAACACAUAAUCCCUAACUUAAAAGGUAGAAAUACUUAAUUACGUUCUUUCCAAGAAAAACAAAUAUGUGAAAAUCAGUGAGAAAUUGAGGUAUAUAAACAUCUGAAACAUUUCAAAAAAUAAUAAAUCUAAACAUAUUGAUAUAGAGUUUUAUGCCUGGGCUUUUAAUGGCUUUCAGGAAUUGUAACAAAUUUUAAAGCUUCAUUAAUUGAUCCAAAACAACACAGUCAGACUUUAGCAUAUCACAUUAUUAAAAGUAUAUGUUAAUAAUCUUUAUGAAUAGGAAAACAGGUUCUAAUACUAUAAACAACAUAUCAGAACAUAUUCUUUGCAAUUUUACUACAUAGUUUCAAUGUUUAUAUGUUUUCAUAGUUUCAUAUGCUUAUUAAUACAUAUUUUUAUUUUAUGUUCAUAAAUGUUUAUUUUGUGAUGAAAGACCUAUUUCAUUUUGUGAAAAUGAAAAUAAUAGUAAAUAUAUUUAUUUUAAAAGUAUAUCCAGUAUUGAUAAAGUCAAUAAAAAUAUAACAAACAUCUUUUGAGAUUUAAUAAACUUUGUUUUAAAAGAUUUGAACAAAUGAAGUAAAAUGUAUUUCUGGGUAGAAAGGAACACAUUUGAAAAAUUGAAAUAGUAUCUUGUACAUGACACUAACAUUUUUGCCAAAUAAAAAAUCAAAUUCAAAUCCAGCGCCCAAAGGAUGUAAAAUGUACUUGAGAGGUCACGUUUUCUACACGUAUAUAAUUUGCAUAUUGGAAAUUUUAAAAUUGAAACAUUCUUUAUUGAGUAACACUAAGGAGUUACCAUUCAAUAGUGUGUAAAUAAAGAGGUUGAUACAUAGAAUUAAAUAUCUACUUAUUGAAGAUUCUUGUGAUUGUCUUAAUCUUAACCUAAUGUAGACCUUAAACAUUACUUCUAAGGAGAGCAGAGUUUUAAGUAUAAUUUGGCAGAAUUAAUAAAAAUCUUAAAUCUAUGAAUGAGCUUUAUAUAAUACAUUGAUAUCAAAGAAUAAGAACUCAAGCAUGUUUAGGAGAUAUAAUUGUGACUGAAUGUUUAUUUCACUAUUAUAUAUUUACUACACAUUAAGUAUAAAAUAAUGUAAAUUUGAGAGAAGAUAUAUAAUAGUUAUGUCACUUAUUACCAAAGGGAAAACAGUCUUGAUUUAUGUUUAACAGGUUUAUUGACAUAUAAUUUCCAUACUGUAAAGCUCAACUACUUUGAGUAUACAAUUCAAUGCUUUUUAUUAUAGUCACUGAGUUGUACAACUGUCAGCAUUCAGCUUAAAUUGGGCGGUAACUUUUAGGUCUUGAGAUAUUUUAUCUUUAGUAUAGGCAUAUUCUGUUUUAAGUUUCUUUUAUAUGUGGCAUUAGCUACAUCUUAUAUUUUGCUUUAGGGUUUCCUCCACAUUUAUUGCCAGUGUUUCUUAAGGCACUUCGUUUCCUUCUUUGGCCCACUGAUUACUUAAGUGUUUCUUAAUAUCACAUUUGUGAUAUUUUUUUGUUAUAAAUCUCUAACUUAAUGGUGCUACAUUCCCAAAACAUACUGUUUUAUGAAUUCUGUUAUUUUUCAUAAAUAGGUGCUGUGGACUUACACAGUAUCUAUUUUUGAUAGUUGAGUAUAUGUGAGUAUCUUUUGCUGUUGGCUUCCACCGUUGUGUUUCUAUAAGUUUUGAUCUUUUACCUAAUUUAUAUAUUUGUUGAAGCAGAGUGGAAACUGAAGUAUUGGAGGCUUGGAUUCUUACAGAAUUGAAUAGUACCCUUCUGUUCAUUCACUCUUGAUUCUCUAUCUUUGGGCUAUGUUGUUUGGUUCAUAUAACAAUAAUUAUUGGUAUCUUCUUGAUAGCUUGAUACGUUAAUGAUUAAAUACAAUUUACUUACUUUUGGUAACCGUGUUUUAUUCUUUUAAAGUUUUGUGAUAUUGAUACAGCCACUUAACACUCUUACAGUUGUUCAAAAGAUAUAUAUUCUCACCAUUGACUUAUAUUCGACAAGAUGGUUGUAUGUAUAUGUAUUUGUUUUAAGAGUGUCACUGUAAAUAGUCCAAGGUUGGAUAUUGAUUUUCUUCUGCAUUAUUCACUUUGACAUUGUAUUUCUUUUGAUUUCAUAGUUUAAUCCAUUCGCAAUUAUUGUAUUAGUGUUAUCUAUAUGGCUGAAUUUCCUUGAUCUAUUUUGCUAUCUGUUUAUAUCUUGUAUCUGUUUCUAUUCCUUUCUUUCUGUUUCAUUACCUUUUGAAAUAAGGGAAUAAUGCUUUCUUCAAUCAUUUAGUCCAUUUAGGAAAUGUUAACUCCAUAUAUUUAUUUUUCA
rnacentral:lncRNA from 1 species